rnacentral:lncRNA from 10 species
GAACCAUAGGGUCCAGAGGGGCGGGGUAUUAACAGGAAAACUAGGAGUUCCGUUUUCAGAGGAAGGAGAGUGGUCUGGGCAGACAAAACUGUUAAGAUAUGGGGAGAUGUGGCCGUGCCUGGUCAGCCUUCCUGAACCACACAUUGGCUGGAUUGCUGUGGGUGGGGCAGACUUUGUUGCUACAGAACCCCAGACCCCGCUGUUACCCACUGGAGUUAUUUACAAGGCCUGCCGGAUGCCUGUACGUCAGUGGCUUCAAUCCGGCCACUCUCAUUGGCUUGCUGCUCCUGGAGUUGCCCAUGCUGAGAACCGUUCUGUUCCACCCAGCCAGCAGCCAGUGGAAAUUUCCUGACCCCUCCUGGGCCUGAAGCCCCAGAGCCAGGACCGGACCUUUGUGGAUACUGAUGGCUGGAGAAAAUGUCUGUAAGACUCUCAGUAGAGAAAUGCUAGGUGCAAAACUGCACAGGGCCUAUCAUCCUAGGGUAAUUUAGAAAUACGUGCAUAUAAA